UACGGGGGGGGGGCAAGCGUUGUUCGGAAUUACUGGGCGUAAAGGGCUCGUAGGCGGCCAACUAAGUCCGACGUGAAAUCCCCAGGCUUAACCUGGGAACUGCGUCGGAUACUGGAUGGCUUGAAUCCGGGAGAGGGAUGCGGAAUUCCAGGUGUAGCGGUGAAAUGCGUAGAUAUCUGGAGGAACACCGGUGGCGAAGGCGGCAUCCUGGGACCGGCAUUGACGGCCUGAGGAGCGAAAGCCAGGGGGAGCAAACGGGG
rnacentral:rRNA from 1 species